rnacentral:rRNA from 1 species
AUGCUUUCACAACUUGACUUCAAAAUAUUUGGUUUGGAGACCAUCAAAGAUCAAUAUGUGCAUGAUGCUGAUUUUAAAGAUGUAAUGCAGAAUUGUAAAGAAGGAAGAAUGUGGAACAAGUUUGUUGUUAACAAUGGAUUUGUGUUUCGUGCUAACAAGCUAUGCAUUCCAGCUAGCUCCGUUCGUCUUUUGUUGUUGCAGGAGGCACAUGGAGGAGGAUUAAUGGGACACUUUGGCGUGAAGAAGACGGAGGACGUACUUGCUACACAUUUCUUUUGGCCAAAGAUGAGACGGGAUGUUGAGCGGGCUGUUUUGAAGAAUAAUAAGAAAAUGUGGGAGGAAUGCUUGCCUCAUAUUAAAUUUGCUUAUAAUCGUUCAUUGCAUUCUACUACUAAGAUGUGCCCUUUUGAAGUUGUGUAUGGUUUCCUACCUCGUGCACCUAUUGAUUUGUUGCCUCUUCCAUCUUCGGAGAAGGUUAAUUUUGAUGCUAAACAACGUGCUGAAUUGAUUUUAAAAAUGCAUGAGUUAACUAAGGAAAACAUUGAGCGUAUGAAUGAUAAAUAUAAACUUGCUGGAGAUAAGGGUAGAAAACAUGUUGUGUUUGCACCUGGAGAUCUUGUUUGGUUACAUUUGCGUAAGGAUAGAUUUCCUGAUUUGCGCAAAUCAAAGCUAAUGCCACGUGCUGAUGGUCCCUUUAAGGUGUUAGAGAAAAUAAAUGAUAAUGCAUAUAAACUUGAGCUGCCUGCAGAUUUUGGGGUUAGUCCCACUUUUAACAUUGCAGAUUUGAAGCCUUAUUUGGGUGAGGAAGAUGAGUUUCCAUCGAGGACGACUUCAUUUCAAGAAGGGGAGGAUGAUGAGGACAUCAAUACCAUUGUUACACCCACAGCCCCUACUGCUACAUAUACGGGACCAAUUACUAGAGCUCGCGCACGCCAAUUAAAUUAUCAGGAAACAGACCCUCGUGGUCAGGUUGAUCGUGCUCCGGCGUGGUCAAUAACCUCUCAGAGUUGGUUUAGCGAUUGCUAA